rnacentral:lncRNA from 1 species
UAUAUAAACAAAAAUAAAAGUAGGUGAUUUUGUGUUUAAACAUCUUAUGUUUUGUACUAACACUAGUUGUGAUACAUUUCUCAAUUCCACCAUUCCCAACAUUGUUUGAUAUUCUGCGGUGCUUGGGCAAUUGGCUGGUUAACAGCAGUUCACUCACUGGCCAAUCAGAUUGAAGCACCACAGUAGAUUCAGCUAUUAGAAGCACAGCCUUCAGUUCUUCCUACAGAGAGCAGAAAGAAGGCUGAAUGCAGGCGCAGCCAUUUUCUCCUACAUUGGAACUCAAUGGCCAAAAUGGGUUUCCUUUGUUCCUAAAGGGAUCUAAAUCUUGAUUUCAUCAGCCUUUUAUGGACUAUUUAAUACAUACAGUGUUUCUGUUUACAGGAUCUGAGAAGAAGGAAGAUUAAAUGUUGGAUGAUAUCCCUUUGUUUGACAUUUUUUUAUUUUUUUUACUUUUUUCUCUUCCUGGAAACCAUCUUUGUCCCAGCAAACUAGACUGUAAAAAGAGAAAGGGAGAAAAAAAACAUGAAAAUUACCAACUGCUUUUAAGCCCCUGCCUUGUUUAGGGCCAAGCAUUAAUCAAUAAGUAAGUUUAUCUUUAUUGUCUUUGCUUAUUUAGCUGCUGAAUAAAUGUUUUAUUGUUAAUUAAACAGGCAUUUUAUGUAAACUGGUUGAAUUCUUUAUUUCUUUUUAGUGCUCCCUAAGUGUCAUUAGUUUUGAGUAAAGCUUUGUCUUCAGAACAUUCAGUUGCAUGCUGUUCUUUUUUUUUAAAUAUCUAUUUAAAUUGAUUGCUUCUCACAUUUCAGCAAACAAGGCAGGCCAUAGAGUGUCAUAGUGUACAGAACAAUAAAUAUGACUCUAAACAUACAUAAUUAUUAAAUCACUAACAGAGAUAUUUACCUUAACAUUUUGUUGAAAUAAUUCUAUCAGGCCUAAACGAUGAGGAAACAGGGAGGUUUUCAUUCCCAUCUUCGGAUCCUUUAACACUGGCUUUAAAGAGGGGGUUGGGUUGCAACGCCUAAAAGGAAGAAAACGACAAUAACCAUGUUUCUGCCGUCGUUUUUCGACAUAAUUCACCAUUUAACACACCUAUCUGCGCAGUCUCCAACGAGUGGAGCUGCUGGAAAUCUUGAGGCACUUUUAGAUAUUGCAAUAUGCAAACAAUCCCUCUCUUUCUCUUCCUGAAGACAGAAUGACAAGAGAGAUCAACUCGCUCAUCAUCAUUCAGAAGAUAGAAAUAUUCCUUUUUCUUUUCAGAAGGUAAUAGUUCAGACGACCUUUUUUGAUUAAAAAAUAAAUAAAUUGCCUUAGGAAUAUUCUGUCUUUGUUUUAACAGGUAAUAAUAAAAUCAUACUUAUCUUUAAAAUUCAUUUUUAAAAAUACAAGUAUUGUUUUUCCAUUGGGAUUUAUUAUAAAUUGUCAAAAAAAUAUACAGAUAAAGACAAAAAAAAAAAAAAACAAUCAUUGUUAUAGACACCUCUCAUUGCUGACCCAUGUCCAAAGCGACCUCAGAAAUAGCCUGAUGUUUAAUGGCUUCUCUGUUGUUCUCUAUUUUUCAACAUGGACGUCUUCACAAGGACAUCACUGU